rnacentral:rRNA from 1 species
GAUGAACGCUGACAGAAUGCUUAACACAUGCAAGUCAACUGUGGCGGACGGGUGAGUAACGCGUACAGAACUUGCCUCACGGGUAGGCACAACAUUUGGAAACGAAUGCUAAUACCUGAUCCUGUGAGAGAGCUUUGCGUCCCAUUAGCUAGUUGGCGAGGUAACGGCUCACCAAGGCGAUGAUGGGUAGCCGGCCUGAGAGGGUGAUAGGCCCCAAGGGGACUGGGACACGGGCCGUACGGAUACUGGCGGAAUGGGUGAGGAACAGAGGAAAAUGGACCACAGUCUGAUGAAGGAAUUCGGUGUGUAAGAUGAUGUUUUCGGAAUGAAAAGUUCUGUAAGUUGGGGAGCGGUACCAACACAAAAAGCGACGGCUAAAUACGUGCCAGCAGCCGCGGUAAUAC